rnacentral:rRNA from 1 species
GAUGAACGCUGGCGGCGUGCCCAAUACAUGCAAGUCGAGCGGACGGACGAGAAGCUUGCUUCGCGGAUGUUAGGGGCGGACGUGAGAGUAACACGAGGAUAACCCACCUAUAAGACUGGUAUAACUUGGGGAAACCGUAUAUAACACGGUAUAAUAAUGUGAACCGCAGGGUUCAAAAGGGAAAGACGUUCUUGCUGUCACGUAUAGAUGGAUCCGCGCUGCAUUAGCUAGUUGGUAAGGAAACAGCUGACCAAGGCAACGAUGCAUAGCCGACCUGAGCGGGUGAUCGGCGACACUGGAGCUGGGCCACGGUCCAGACGACUGAGAGAGGGCGCAGUCGCGAAUCUUACGCAAUGGGCGGAAGCCUGACGGAGCAGGGCCGAGCGAGUGGCGACGGUCUUCGGUUAGUAAUGCUCUGUUAUUAGGGAUGAACCUAUGUGUACGUAGAUGUGCCCAUCGUGACGGUACCUACUCAGAAAGCACCGGCUAACUACGUG